rnacentral:rRNA from 1 species
AAUAUUGGACAAUGGGCGAAAGCCUGAUCCAGCCAUGCCGCGUGUGUGAAGAAGGUCNNNGGAUUNUCAAGCACUUUAAGUUGNGAGNAAGAGUUGUAGGCUAAUACCUUGCAAUUUUGACGUUACCAACAGAAUAAGCACCGGCUAACUUCGUGCCAGCAGCCGCGGUAAUACGAAGGGUGCAAGCGUUAAUCGGAAUUACUGGGCGUAAAGCGCGCGUAGGUGGUUUGAUAAGUUGGAUGUGAAAGCCCCGGGCUCAACCUGGGAAUUGCAUCCAAAACUGUCUGACUAGAGUACGGUAGAGGGUAGUGGAAUUUCCUGUGUAGCGGUGAAAUGCGUAGAUAUAGGAAGGAACAUCAGUGGCGAAGGCGACUACCUGGACUGAUACUGACACUGAGGUGCGAAAGCGUGGGGAGCAAACAGG